rnacentral:tRNA from 2 species
CAAAGGGUAGUUUAGUAUAAAAUAUUAAUUUUGGGGAUUAAUGAUGAGAAAUUUUCUUUCCUUUGA